ACAAUCUGCGUGCACCGCAAUAUACUCGUUGCGCGGAGUGGGUUCUUCACCGCCAAGCUCUCGGACCGUUGGUCCAAUCAGCGGUGGACAUUGUCUCACAUCAACAAGAUCUCCGACUACGACAACGUGGAGAUAGACACGGCGGCGGCUCCGUCCCCUGCUCGACACCUCGCUGGUGCUGACAGACGCACUCUGUGUCGCUGCAGCAGAGCGGCGCCAGACACAAUUCCCCACCUUGGCCGCCCUCACUCUGCUUAACGCCCCCCCUGCUUUUGCAAUGUACAGCAACAACAGGUGGACUAAAUUGCUUGACAUUUAAUGCAGGGAGUUGAUACCAUCCACGUUUGAUACAGGUAGAUGUAUAUCAGCUAUAACUUCUCUUGCCAAUUUAGUAAACAAAUCUGCUAUUUUGAAUACUGUCUUGAGCACUGCAUUGCAGAAUCGUGGGAGAGUUUAGGUUUGAAGCAUCCCCUCAAUCGUACUAUAUCUAUAUCAUCAAGAUCACGGGUGUGUUCUCUCUAAUAUACUUCCGUGUAUAUGCAAGUUUGUGAAUUUCUAAGAGAUACACUUGGUCUACAAUAUUACCAGAUGUAGUAGGAGAUCAUUUUAAAGUGUCAAUGUCAUGAUGCAUUAAUUCGUGAGAAAAUGGUUGCAUCUUCCACUAAUUUCUUGAUAAUGGUUUAUUUGAUUAUUCUUUUUUCAGCAGAACUAAUGUAGAUGUGUUGAAGCAAUCUUGCGUUGCCUGUUAUAGAUUAUCCAUUUUGGUUAUCUCGACUAUGAAGCAUCGAUUUCUGUUCCAUGAUUCCAAAAUUCAUACUUUAUGCAAAGAGGAAAUGUUCCAAUUCCUUGUGGAACUAAGAAAGUUGU